AUGAAUCCAACAAAAUCAAGGAAAUUUGUUAGCGCGAGAGAGUACUAUUGCUUCAAGCUGUGUAUCCGAAAGAAGCUUUUUAACAUCAUCUUGUUUGGGGGGCGCCUUUUCCAACAGUGGGCUGUUGACAUGUACAUCAAGAUUGAGACAAUGAGGCUUCACUGGUAUUCAAAGCCAGCAAAUCAAAAGGUUAUACGUGCUGACCUGUACCAGGGUCUUGUUGACACCGUCGUUGCUGGCUAGUCACGCGGUGAUCGGAUUGGCAAGAGAAUCGUGCUUCCACGUACAUUUCCUGGUGGUGACCGUGACAUGCAGCGCAGGUUUCUGGAUGCGAUGGCAAUAGUUCAACGUUGGGGUAAACCGGAUUAUUUUGUUACGAUGACAUGCAAUCCCUACUGGGAGGAGAUAACGCAGGAAUUGUUGCCUGGAUAG
rnacentral:rRNA from 1 species